rnacentral:rRNA from 1 species
GAUCAUGGCUCAGGAUGAACGCUAGCUACAGGCUUAACACAUGCAAGUCGAGGGGCAUCAGAAAGAAAGCUUGCUUUCUUUGCUGGCGACCGGCGCACGGGUGAGUAACACGUAUCCAACCUGCCCUUUACUCGGGGAUAGCCUUUCGAAAGAAAGAUUAAUACCCGAUGGGAUAAUGAUUCCGCAUGGUUUCAUUAUUAAAGGAUUCCGGUAAAGGAUGGGGAUGCGUUCCAUUAGGUUGUUGGUGAGGUAAACGGG